GAAAUGCGAUAAGUAGUGUGAAUUGCAGAAUUUAGCGAAUCAUCGAAUCUUUGAACGCACAUUGCGCCCCUUGGUAUUCCAUGGGGCAUGCCUGUUCGAGCGUCAUUUCAACCCUCAAGCACUGCUUGGUGUUGGGCGUUUGUCCCGCCUACGCGCGUGGACUCGCCUCAAAGUCAUUGGCGGCUGUUCCCCUUCGGCUCGUAAGCGCAGCACAGUCGGCGCCCGGAGCUCUGGUGGGAUGGCGUCCAGCAAGCUAUAUUUUCAGGCUUGACCUCGGAUCAGGUAGUGAUACCCGCUGAACUUAAGC
rnacentral:misc_RNA from 1 species